AGCGAACGCUGGCGGCAGGCUUAACACAUGCAAGUCGAGCGGGCACUUCGGUGUCAGCGGCAGACGGGUGAGUAACACGUGGGAACGUACCCUUCGGUUCGGAAUAACGCUGGGAAACUAGCGCUAAUACCGGAUACGCCCUUUUGGGGAAAGGUUUACUGCCGAAGGAUCGGCCCGCGUCUGAUUAGCUAGUUGGUGGGGUAAUGGCCUACCAAGGCGACGAUCAGUAGCUGGUCUGAGAGGAUGAUCAGCCACACUGGGACUGAGACACGGCCCAGACUCCUACGGGAGGCAGCAGUGGGGAAUAUUGGACAAUGGGCGCAGGCCUGAUCCAGCCAUGCCGCGUGAGUGAUGAAGGCCUUAGGGUUGUAAAGCUCUUUUGUCCGGGACGAUAAUGACGGUACCGGAAGAAUAAGCCCCGGCUAACUUCGUG
rnacentral:rRNA from 1 species